rnacentral:rRNA from 1 species
GACGAACGCUGGCGGCGUGCUUAACACAUGCAAGUCGAACGGAAAGGCCCUGCUUUUGUGGGGUGCUCGAGUGGCGAACGGGUGAGUAACACGUGAGUAACCUGCCCUUGCCUUUGGGAUAACUUCAGGAAACUGGGGCUAAUACCGGAUAGGAGCUCCUGCUGCUUGGUGGGGGUUGGAAAGUUUCGGAGGUUGGGGAUGGACCCGCGGCUUGUCAGCUUGUUGGUGGGGUAGUGGCUUAGCAAGGCUUUGGCGGGUCGCCGGCCUGAGAGGGUGACCCGCCACAGUGGGACUGAGAAACCGCCCAGACUGCUACGGCAGGCAUCAGCGGGGAAUAUUGCAAAAUGGGCGGAAGCCGGAUGCAGCGUCGCCGCGUGCGGGAUGACGGCCGUCGGGUUGGAAACCGCUUUAGCCUGUGAAGAUGACUGAGUGACGGUAAUGGGUAAAGAAGCACCGGCUAACUACGUG